AACGCACAUUGCGCCCUUUGGUAUUCCGAAGGGCAUGCCUGUUCGAGCGUCAUUAUCACCCCUCAAGCCCCGUGCUUGGUGUUGGACGGCUUGGUCGCGUCACCGCGACUCCUCCUAAAGACAAUGACGGCGGCCUGUGGUUCCCCCGGUACACUGAGCUUUUAAUUGAGCACGUAUUGGAUAAGGGCGCCCGGGACCCGGUCUUCUCCCUUUACCGGGAAAUUUUUCAAUGGUUGACCUCGGAUCAGGUAGGAAUACGCGCUGAACUUAA
rnacentral:misc_RNA from 4 species